GGAAUAUUGGACAAUGGGCGCAAGCCUGAUCCAGCCAUCCCGCGUGCAGGAUGAAGGCCCUAUGGGUUGUAAACUGCUUUUACAGGGGAAGAAGCGCCCGGCUUUAGGCGGGUUUGACGGUACCCUGGGAAUAAGCACCGGCUAACUCCGUGCCAGCAGCCGCGGUAAUCCGGAGGGUGCAAGCGUUAUCCGGAAUCACUGGGUUUAAAGGGUGCGUAGGCGGCGCGAUAAGUCAGGGGUGAAGGCCCGCAGCUCAACUGUGGAAUUGCCUUUGAUACUGUUGUGCUUGAAUGGGGUUGAGGUCGGCGGAAUGUGACAUGUAGCGGUGAAAUGCAUAGAUAUGUCAUAGAACACCAAUUGCGAAGGCAGCCGGCUAGACCUGCAUUGACGCUGAGGCACGAAAGCGUGGGGAGCGAAC
rnacentral:rRNA from 1 species